rnacentral:rRNA from 1 species
UACAGAGGUCCCAAGCGUUGUUCGGAUUCACUGGGCGUAAAGGGUGCGUAGGUGGUCAGGUAAGUCCGAUGUGAAAUCUCCGAGCUCAACUCGGAAAUGGCAUUGGAUACUAUCUGGCUAGAGGAGUGGAGGGGGGACUGGAAUACUUGGUGUAGCAGUGAAAUGCGUAGAUAUCAAGUGGAACACCAGUGGCGAAGGCGAGUCCCUGGACACUUCCUGACACUGAGGCACGAAAGCUAGGGGAGCAAACAGG